AGUUUGAUCCUGGCUCAGGAUGAACGCUAGCUACAGGCUUAACACAUGCAAGUCGAGGGGAAACGAUAUUGGAAGCUUGCUUCCGAUAGGCGUCGACCGGCGCACGGGUGAGUAACGCGUAUCCAACCUGCCCAUCACUUGGGGAUAACCUUGCGAAAGUAAGACUAAUACCCAAUGACGUCUCUAGAAGACAUCUGAAAGAGAUUAAAGAUUUAUCGGUGAUGGAUGGGGAUGCGUCUGAUUAGCUUGUUGGCGGGGUAACGGCCCACCAGGGCGACGAUCAGUAGGGGUUCUGAGAGGAAGGUCCCCCACAUUGGAACUGAGACACGGUCCAAACUCCUACGGGAGGCAGCAGUGAGGAAUAUUGGUCAAUGGACGAGAGCCUGAACCAGCCAAGUAGCGUGCAGGAUGACGGCCCUAUGGGUUGUAAACUGCUUUUAUAAGGGAAUAAAGUGAGUCUCGUGAGACUUUUUGCAUGUACCUUAUGAAUAAGGACCGGCUAAUUCCGUGCCAGCAGCCGCGGUAAUACGGAAGGUCCGGGCGUUAUCCGGAUUUAUUGGGUUUAAAGGGAGCGUAGGCCGGAGAUUAAGCGUGUUGUGAAAUGUAGACGCUCAACGUCUGCACUGCAGCGCGAACUGGUUUCCUUGAGUACGCACAAAGUGGGCGGAAUUCGUGGUGUAGCGGUGAAAUGCUUAGAUAUCACGAAGAACUCCGAUUGCGAAGGCAGCUCCACUGGAGCGCAACUGACGCUGAAGCUCGAAAGUGCGGGUAUCGAACAGGAUUAGAUACCCUGGUAGUCCGCACGGUAAACGAUGGAUGCCCGCUGUUGGUCUGAAUAGGUCAGCGGCCAAGCGAAAGCAUUAAGCAUCCCACCUGGGGAGUACGCCGGCAACGGUGAAACUCAAAGGAAUUGACGGAAGGG
rnacentral:rRNA from 1 species